UUCAGCUUACAGUUUCCACACU
rnacentral:misc_RNA from 1 species